rnacentral:snRNA from 1 species
GCUUGUUUCAUCAGCACAUACACAAACCAGAAUGAUACAGACAAGAAUAGUAUGCCCUUGCAAAAGGAUGAUGCAGAUUCAUGAAGCAUUGUACAUUUAA